UACGUAGGGGGCAAGCGUUGUCCGGAAUCAUUGGGCGUCCAGCGCGUGUAGGCGGCCCGCUAAGUCCGCUGUGAAAGUCCAGGGCUCAACCCUGGGAUGCCGGUGGAUACUGUCGGGCUCGAGUCCGGAAGAGGCGAGUGGAAUUCCUGGUGUAGCGGUGAAAUGCGCAGAUAUCAGGAAGAACACCCGUGGCGAAGGCGGCUCUCUGGGACGGUACUGACGCUGAGACGCGAAAGCGUGGGGAGCGAACAGG
rnacentral:rRNA from 1 species